rnacentral:rRNA from 1 species
ACGCUCGACACCUACGGGAGGGCAGCAGUGAGGAAUAUUGGUCAAUGGGCGCUAGCCUGAACCAGCCAAGUAGCGUGAAGGAUGAAGGCUCUAUGGGUCGUAAACUUCUUUUAUAUAAGAAUAAAGUGCAGUAUGUAUACUGUUUUGUAUGUAUUAUAUGAAUAAGGAUCGGCUAACUCCGUGCCAGCACGCCGUACGGUAAUCUGAGGCCGGGCGUGGACGAAGGC